GCUUACGGCCAUACUACCUUAGGCACGCCCGAUCUCGUCUGAUCUCGGAAGCUAAGCAGGGUCGGGCCUGGUUAGUACUUGGAUGGGUGACCGCCUGGGAAUACCUGGUGCUGUAAGUA
rnacentral:rRNA from 1 species